UGAACGAGAAUCUCCCUUUCUCCAUCCUUGUGCACGAGCUUGAGGCAAUUCAAAGAGGAGUGAAAAGGGCCUCUCCAUCAUAGGCGGCCGAAGGUACCACCUUUUUUUGAAAACAACAACAGAAAGAUAAACUCACUCUUAAUAUAAAAAAUUUCUUGUCCAAGCCGUAAUCUUAUUACGAUACCACAAAAGAACUGACAACGAUUAACAUUUGUUCUCAUGAAGCAGUAACUAGUCUUUAGCACUCAUCUUUCUAUCAACGACUAUUAAGGAAUUCCUUCGCACUUAUGCUGCCUUUAUUCAACUCGCUCUUUUCCAAUUCCUUUUCAUAGAAAAUGUAUUCUUUCAAACUCGAUCAAAGAGCUUAUUCUUGCAGCGGCUUCUAGAGUUCUAGCUUUAAAUAAUUAGAGCCCUUUAUCAGUCCUUUCAAUCAGUUCUGAUUCGGUAAGCUACUUAGGAUGAAUCACACAA
rnacentral:lncRNA from 1 species